GCCAAGCCGCGGGGAGCGUCGGAAGCCGUGCUUUCACAGCUCCCUCUCGUAUUGCGGGUCGCUAUCCGGGCGUUUUUGGGAAGCUUCUUAACUGGUUGUCUGCUUCUCGGUCAGACCUUGCGGUUCUCCAACCGAAGCGGGAUCGGGCUGCUUCCUGCGCGGGCCGCGCCGGGCAUGGCUGCGUCGGGUCUGGAUCAUCUCAAAAAUGACUACAGAAGAAGAUUUUGCCGGCCUCCCAGGGCACCCAGCAUUCAUACAGAGCAAGGCCAGAACAUGUUGGAAAUCUUACAGAACUGUUUUUGAAGAAAAAAGUCUCAUCAAUGAUUUUAUCACACAUUCUACAGAAUCAGUGCUUUAUUCACCAACCAAAGUGAAAGACAGUUAUAUUCCAUCACCAAGCAAAGAGAUAAGUCAAAAAGGAGAACCAAUGCAGGUUUAGUAUUUUAAUGAGCGAAACUAUAUACAAAGUACUUAGGUACAUUUUAGUUGUUAUAAGUCUUAUUCUUACAAAGAGAAUCCUUUAUUCCUAUUGACUUUGUAUAAAAUUUGUGGGUGUUUUAUGAAAGUUUUGAUUUCAUUUUACCUGUAUUUGAAAUUGGGUGUUUGGAAUUAGAAUUAACAAAUUAUAGCAGUCAUUUUUCAUUUCAUGUUUUUGGCAGUACUGGGGUUUGAACUCAGGGCCUCGUGCUUUCUAGGCUGGCACUUUACCACUUGAGCGACGACCCCGGUCCUCAUCUUUUAUUUCUUCUAAAAUAAUACUGAAUUAGAUUUUAGGGAGAUGGACAUCACUUUGGCACAGGUUCUACCACUGAGCUGUAUCUUUAAUCUGAGUUUUUAAAGCUAAUGAACAAAAGCAAAUUAUGAGAAAGUACAGUGCUAAUUUGAAAAACUAUACGGUGCUGGAAAUAAUAUUCACUAAUAACUUGUAAAAACGCUAUCAGCAUAGGAACAUUUUAAGAAAUGAAGACAGACAAUUCUUUCAGAAUUGAGAGGCCUUCUAUAAUGGGGUAAAUAAUUUAAGUUGAUUUUUGAAAGUUAAAAUCAACUUUUAAAUUUCCUGUGAUAAAUAAACUUGACUUGAUCAUAAAGUAUUAUUUUUUU
rnacentral:lncRNA from 1 species